rnacentral:rRNA from 1 species
ACGAACGCUGGCGGCGUGCCUAAUACAUGCAAGUAGAACGCUGAAGGAGGAGCUUGCUUCUCUGGAUGAGUUGCGAACGGGUGAGUAACGCGUAGGUAACCUGCCUGGUAGCGGGGGAUAACUAUUGGAAACGAUAGCUAAUACCGCAUAAGAGUAGAUGUUGCAUGACAUUUGCUUAAAAGGUGCAAUUGCAUCACUACCAGAUGGACCUGCGUUGUAUUAGCUAGUUGGUGAGGUAACGGCUCACCAAGGCGACGAUACAUAGCCGACCUGAGAGGGUGAUCGGCCACACUGGGACUGAGACACGGCCCAGACUCCUACGGGAGGCAGCAGUAGGGAAUCUUCGGCAAUGGACGGAAGUCUGACCGAGCAACGCCGCGUGAGUGAAGAAGGUUUUCGGAUCGUAAAGCUCUGUUGUAAGAGAAGAACGAGUGUGAGAGUGGAAAGUUCACACUGUGACGGUAUCUUACCAGAAAGGGACGGCUAACUACGUG